ACUCCUACGGGAGGCAGCAGUGGGGAAUUUUGGACAAUGGGGGCAACCCUGAUCCAGCAAUGCCGCGUGUGCGAAGAAGGCCUUCGGGUUGUAAAGCACUUUUGGCGGGAACGAAACGGUGCCGGUUAAUACCUGGCGCUAAUGACGGUACCCGCAGAAUAAGCACCGGCUAACUACGUGCCAGCAGCCGCGGUAAUACGUAGGGUGCAAGCGUUAAUCGGAAUUACUGGGCGUAAAGCGUGCGCAGGCGGUUCGGAAAGAAAGAUGUGAAAUCCCAGGGCUCAACCUUGGAACUGCAUUUUUAACUCCCGAACUAGAGUAUGUCAGAGGGGGGUGGAAUUCCACGUGUAGCAGUGAAAUGCGUAGAUAUGUGGAGGAACACCGAUGGCGAAGGCAGCCCCCUGGGAUAAUACUGACGCUCAUGCACGAAAGCGUGGGGAGCAAACAGGAUUAGAUACCCUGGUAGCAUCGUCU
rnacentral:rRNA from 1 species